rnacentral:tRNA from 1 species
GGCGAGAUGGCCGAGUGGUUAAGGCGCUGGUUUUAGGUUUGAUCUUGUUCUAGGUUAGAAUCACCAGUUCGAAAGAGCGUGGGUUCAAAUCCCACUCUCGUCA